GCCCUUUUUUUACUUACAGGAGAUGCCACUUGCCACUUUUUAUCCCGAUAAAAAAUAGCGAAGUGAAGACAUGAUGGCAUGUGAGCCUGUAGCUCUGGUGACUGAUCCAUGGAGAAAUACUGCACUGGAUUUCACAUCAGCAUUACAGGGAGCAGGCAAUACUAACUUACGGCCCGAGAAGUGACAAGGGCCCCUCGCUGCCCGCCAACCGACCCUGGAAGAGCCCCAGCCGCCAAACCCCAUCUCGAAGGCGGCAGCAGCCGGCGGGCAGCCGCCUCCUUCCUCCUCCCCUCACGUUCUCGGCGGAGCUCACGUUCAGCACCAAGCUAGCGGGCUCGCUGUAGGGGCGGAGGAAGCGCAGCAGCAGGCGGGCGAUGCCGAGUCCCCGGGCGCACACCGCCAGCCCGUCCCGGUGGAAGAAGUCCUCCAGACCCGCCUCCUGUGGUCCAGCAGCGCCUCCAUCGCCGCCGGCCCCAGCCCGCCACAGCAGCGCCUGCGCCCGGCCUCGCCGCGGCUGAGGGAGCGGCGCCCUCAGGCGGCUGGAGGCGGUGUCUCAUCUUCUAGUUGAGGGUCUUCUGAGGGCAGGGGUCAGCCAAAUCUCCCAGCUAGAUUACCAGGGAGUUCAGGAUUACACUUUCAAUGCCAAAUACACAUGUAUUGGAAAAGAAAUAGAUAAAUGGAUGACUAGGAAACACAGCAGAUUCAGCCUGCCUGUGGAGAAUAGAAAGAAAUGGUGAAUUGAAAACUUUCAGAGCCAGGGUUUGACAUCAGUAGAACAGAACAGAAGCAAAGAUCAGGGAUCACUAGGAUUCUCUCAGCUCAAUGUGGACCAAAGAUCAUGCAGACAAUGGCCUGAAGGCAAUCAGAAUUCAGUAGCAUGCAUACAACUGAAGCUUCUAGAAAUUCGGAUAAUUUAUGAGCACAACGUACUAUGUGGUAAG